ensembl:lncRNA RNF32-DT RNF32 divergent transcript
GCCCCGCGCACGGCGUCAGCGUCUAGACGCAGGUGACCAGCAUCAUGUCCCACCGGGUCCCCUGCAGUCCCAGUGCACCUGCCUGCUCAUCCAGGGACCUGUCCUCACUGCCUGCUGCCUGCACUGUGUGGAAGGACAGAGGCUAAACGACGAAGCCUCGAGCUCUGGUCUCAUGGAAAUGGCAGCCUGCCCACCACCCACGCUUGCCCAGCCUUUCUUCACGCAGGAAGAAUAUUUCUCAGCCCUCCGUUCUCAAGACAGAUGAGUGCUUUAGAAAGAGGACUCUGCAGCGGUGAGGAGGAUGGAAUGACAGGCAAAGCACGCAGGACCAGGAGAUGGCUUCGUUCCCUCAAUCACUCAUCCAAAGACGUUUAAUGAGCACCUAUUGUGUGUCAGGCAUUGUACCGGGCAAUGGGGAUAUCGUAGUCAGUAAUAAGUGAGGAGAGAUGAGUUCAUUUGUGAGAGGCUCUGACCAGUGGAAUCAGAGGAAGGGAGUUCCCCUGGGUGGGCCAGGUUCAAAGACAUUUUGGAAGUAGAAUCUGCAGAACAUGAUGAUCUUUUGGAAACAGGGCAGGGACGUGAAUGAGCACGUAAUGUCCCCAUGGGUUUGUCUUUCCGAAGGUUUAAAAUCCUCAAGAAUAAGGAACAUAGGCAUGUGUCGUAACGGUCUCCACAGUGGGGGAGUAUUAUGUUAGUGCACCUGCAUGUUAACUCUGCUCAUGAAGGGGCCACGUCUUCACCACCACAAAGCCUCAAGCAUGCAUAUCUGGUCCCUCCAACCCCCUCCCUAUUGAGGUGCAAUAAAGGCCCAUGUUUCUCCUAGUAUGGGAACAGAACUAAGUCCUUUGUUCUAUUAUUUGACAUGUAUUGACUCAAGCAUUCGAUGAGUAUUGAUGAAGUGUGUUCUAAGCUUGUACCGGGCUAGGUCUUCUACUGCAAUCCCCACGCUUAUAAACCUUGCCAACCUGAGCCACCUGCAAGCUUUCUGACCUUGGGCGUCCUCAUCUCUUCACCUCCACUGGUAAAGAUGAGCUAACUGGUAAAGAUGAGCUAUGGAAAGAACGUGGAGUAGUCCUCGGCACAUAGUAGGAAUUUAGUGAAUAUCAGUUCUCUUCAUUCACAAGCACUUAAUAGGCCAGGUACUGGAACAAAAGACAAAUCAGAUGGAAAGAGGCUCAUACUGCAUCCCGGCCUGGCAGAAUGAGAGCGGCUCCUGGAACCGGGAUUCCACGUCAGCUUUCAGCUUUUUUUCUGCUUUUUCCUUCUUCUCAGGCCUUUCAGGAUUUGGUUCUUGUUUUAAAGCUUCUGACGGAGAGAGCCAAGUAGCCUGUCCUUGCUCUACGGGCUGGGAAGCAAUGAGUGAUUGCUGAAGAGGCUUUUUCUCAGCAAAGGGCAGAGGCAAAGGAGAGAAGAAAGGAAGGGCCCUGUGCUGUGAAGCAAUUUUCUCAUUUUCUGCUGCUGGUGCUUGCGUUGUUGUCUUCCUCAACAUGCAGGGGAGGCCCAGAGAGGCACUGCUACGGGUUCCAGACAUUCCUUGUAUUCUCACUGCCUGGCUCUGUCCUCAACCACUUACUUUCGGUGUUAGCGGUGAGUCUCAAAGGAACAUUGUGCUGAACUGUUCUCCAUCUCAACUACAUGAUCCUGCAGCCCUCAGGAUGAAGGGUUUCGGUCUUUGAUUCCGGCGACCUGGAGGCUUGCUUACUGUCAACUCCAUGCGGAGAACUGUAGAAAACAGGAUAAAGACGAAGACUAGGCCGAGCCGUCCAAGGCAGUGAGUCCACAUGCAGGCCCGUUCCUGAGACAUCUCCCCGACUCCGGAGCGAGCUGCUUCCUCCCCUGUGCCCUUACCUGUGUGCAAGUGCAUGAUUGCCUGACCACAUGGAUCAGUAGUGAAUUCCCAAAUGGGCUGAGUUUGGAAAGGCAAGGUCAGCAUGCUCUACAGGAAAACUGGGUUGGCGAUAACCUUGUUGGUCAAUGGCACUGCCUGGAGACUUCCCAAGGGCUGCCAUUUUGUUAGGCUCAUUGAGAGAUAUAGAAAAACAGGAGUAAAAGGUUUCGCAAUUUUAAGCAUCCUGAGGAAGAAUGCUGUGCAAGGGGUUGGAUGAUGCCUCCCCAACCCCCCAAAAUUAGUCCACUUGGAGCCCAUGAAUGGGACCUCAUUCGGACAAAAGGGUCUUUGCAGAUGUAAUUAAGGACCUCAAGAUGAAAUCCUCCUGGACUAAUCAGGUAGGCCCGAGACCCCAUGACACAGACAGAGACACAGGGAGAGUUCCAUGUGACAGUGGAGGCAGGGACUGGAGUGAUGUAUCUGUGCCCAAGGAACACCAAGGAUUGCCAGCAGCUCCCAGGAGGAGAUGGGAUGGAGCUGACGCUCUCCAGAGCCUUCAGAAGGAACCAAAUCUGAUACUGGAUUUCCGUCCUGCAGAACUGGGAGAAAAUGCAUUUCUGUUUGAAGUUACCAAGUUUGUGGUCAUUUGUGAGAGCAGCCCCAGGAGAUGAACACAGGGUGGCUCCAUGCCAGGACAGGGGGGCAAGAGGCUGGGGCUCUGUGCUCCUCCAGGUCUCACUCAGGCUCACUCUGAGCAUUCAGCGCAGUGUUUGGGGCACCCGGUGACCCUGGGUGUGAGGAGACGUGGUCUGUGCCUUCUGGCCCAUCGUCAUUUGCUCUGGGUGCUGAUAUCAACCACAGGCAAUUUAAUUCUAGACUGGAAUGGAGCUGGGAAGGGCGCACCUUCCUGCCAAAAGCAAUUUCGUCCAAAGUCUGCACCUCGGUGGCUGAGCAUGGCGGGCCGGGAUGUUUUCACACUGCCACUCUAGAAAGAGCGGAAAUGCAGACGCUUUCCUCCUUCACAAUUUUUGAUUGCUUUGACUUUUGGUGUGUCCGAGAGGCUGUAACUCAAAUAACCGUUCCCCACCUUUGGUUAGAUCCUAGAGUCUCUGGUACAUUGUCCGUCAGCGGUGCUGCUUGGAGGCUUCCCAAAGGCCGCCAUUUUGGUAGGCUCAUUGAGAGAUACAGAAGAAAUAGGAGCAAACGGCUCCACAGUAGAGAUACAAGCAGCUUCUACCUUCAAAUUACUGUGGUUUUUAUUUGACCUGUUGGAAGUUCUGGGGUUUCUGUAAAGGAUAAAAACUCUCUUUGGGCAGGCACAGUGUAGAUCUGAAAAGUCCUGACUACGGCCCCUUCAGUUUAUGGCCUGAGGAGCUUGAGGGCCUGAGGGAAGCCAGUGGCCGGAACACACGGGCUCUUUAGCUGAGGAGGGACUUGAACCCAGGUGUUCCGACGCGAGGACUCUCUCCCACCACAUACAGCACAGCACUGCUUGCGUUGUUUGGUUUUGUAUUGCUUUGGAAUUAGUCCAACUAUCAUCAUCGAUGUGAAUAAAUAGACAUAUAUCUUUUCAGUUUGCACAACUACAACCAUAAAUGAAUAUUUAUUAGUGUGAAGACACCCCCAGGUCCUGGAACACUCAACACAUGUAGAGCCAGGUGUAUUCAGGAGUCCAUGCAGCAGGAAGUGGAGCCAUCAUCACAGGGUACGAAGGGAGGACAAGUGCAGUGUCGUGAGCAUGUACAGAGGGAAGUUGACAGCGGGGAGAGGCUUUGCUGAGGAAGUGGCGUUUGGAAGAACGAGAAUGAGCCUACUGAAAAUCUCCUUGCAGUACCGGCCUACAAAUGUACCGUUAGGAAGCUGUUCUCUUCAAGAGCAGGCUUGGAAGCUAGAGAGGACUGAGAUUGCAGCUGUGGUCUGAAGGGCUGUGUGUGAACGGGGGAGCCAGAGAGACUUGGAUCUAUCAGUCAGGGUUUUCUAGAGAAGCAGAACCAAUAAGAAGGAAAGAACAAGAGUUAUGAUGAGGAAUUGGCUCACAUGAUUAUGGAGGCUGAUGAGUCCCAAGAUCCGUGGGAUGAGUUGGGGAGCUGGGGGCCCGUGAGAGCCAAUGGUGCAGUGCAGCAAGGUGCUACGGACCCCGGCAGACAGGUGUGGAUGAUAUUCUUUGCCAACUGCCUUUGGACAACCUCAGAUUUCACCACGGUCAACAAAUAGAGUUACCUCUGACUUCAGUUUGGAAAUUUUUUUUUUUUUGCAGGGAAUUCUUUGUAGAUUUUCAAACUGCUGUUGAUUAGUUUGUCAAUAAAAUUUAUUGAGUGCCUUCCCAUGUGCCAAGAA